ACUGCAGUCGAGCGGAAGAUGGGAGCUUGCUCCCUGAUGUUAGCGGCGGACGGGUGAGUAACACGUGGGUAACCUGCCUGUAAGACUGGGAUAACUCCGGGAAACCGGGGCUAAUACCGGAUGGUUGUCUGAACCGCAUGGUUCAGACAUAAAAGGUGGCUUCGGCUACCACUUACAGAUGGACCCGCGGCGCAUUAGCUAGUUGGUGAGGUAACGGCUCACCAAGGCGACGAUGCGUAGCCGACCUGAGAGGGUGAUCGGCCACACUGGGACUGAGACACGGCCCAGACUCCUACGGGAGGCAGCAGUAGGGAAUCUUCCGCAAUGGACGAAAGUCUGACGGAGCAACGCCGCGUGAGUGAUGAAGGUUUUCGGAUCGUAAAGCUCUGUUGUUAGGGAAGAACAAGUGCCGUUCAAAUAGGGCGGCACCUUGACGGUACCUAACCAGAAAGCCACGGCUAACUACGUGCCAGCAGCCGCGGUAAUACGUAGGUGGCAAGCGUUGUCCGGAAUUAUUGGGCGUAAAGGGCUCGCAGGCGGUUUCUUAAGUCUGAUGUGAAAGCCCCCGGCUCAACCGGGGAGGGUCAUUGGAAACUGGGGAACUUGAGUGCAGAAGAGGAGAGUGGAAUUCCACGUGUAGCGGUGAAAUGCGUAGAGAUGUGGAGGAACACC
rnacentral:rRNA from 1 species